GAAGGAAGUGUGGAUGCAAUAAGAAAUGAGGUGAAGUUUUGCAGAGAGGAAACAGGCGUGGGCCACGUUGAUAGUGAGCCUAGAAAAGAAACUGCCCUGGAUUUACCCCACAGCUGGAGAAAUAAAUCCAACCGCCUCCUGCACUGGGGCAUGCCACUGUGGUGAAAUCUCGGCGCGCGCGUGCACUGGCUCCUAGGUGCAGGAGGCGUAGGAACAGCUUGAAGCCGGUGAUUCACCAUCCGAGAUCAGGCCCUGGCUCUCCCUGUGUGGGGAAGCCCCUGGCUUGCUGGAACCUGGCCUCGCUGCCCUAGCUUCCUUUCAAGUGUCCUGCCAUCCAUCCAUCACACUGAUUUCUGCCUUCAAAGCCAGAUUCCAGGGAUGUCUCCCUUUGACCUGCAGGUCCAUUUAAGGGGCAUGCGCAUUCCUUGGCUCUCCCCACAUAGUUCACAUUCUUUCUCUGAAGCCCCUGUUCUAGGAAAGGAGUACAAAGGACACGAUUCUGAAAAGCCCGGCCUUCAGAAAUUUGGCUCUUAAAUCCCUUUUGCUAUGGUGGAAGGAAGCACAGAACAGAUAAAUACAUAAAUGAAACAAAAA